rnacentral:rRNA from 1 species
GGGGGGCUUACCAUGCAGUCGAGCGGGGAAGGUUGCUUCGGUAACUAACCUAGCGGCGGACGGGUGAGUAAUGCUUAGGAAUCUGCCAUUUAGUGGGGGACAACAUUCCGAAAGGAAUGCUAAUACCGCAUACGUCCUACGGGAGAAAGCAGGGGAUCUUCGGACCUUGCGCUAAAUGAUGAGCCUAAGUCGGAUUAGCUAGUUGGUGGGGUAAAGGCCUACCAAGGCGACGAUCUG